UCGGCGGGUGGGUUGGAGCCGCGCGGCCAAGGGAGCGCCCCGUGCUCGGAGUUCGGUCUGACCCGCUGGUGGGACGCGGGGCUCGCUCCCGGGCUCGGCGUUUUGGUGCCGCCGGUGACACGGAGAAAACAGCGGUUCAAAGAGGUUUUGAGAUGCCGUUCCCUGCUAGAACUGGAGUUGUAGAGCCUUGUACUUGCACGGUUAAUCGGUCCCUUUCAGGGAAUCUACGUAGUGGUGAAGCUAUUUUGAUGUCAGAAGUGUCUGGACUCCCCAGCUUAGACUGUGUGAGCUAAGCAGGUAUUAAGGGACAAGCCCUGCCUAUGGAGCUUGAAUGGACAGGAGAAAAGAUGGAAGAAAGGAGAGCUCGUGAUAAUGUAAUUCCAGAAAGAAGACGAACAAGCUCCACAGAGUAAUUAACGCAAUCCACAGUCCACUUGAAGGUACAGGAGCUAAUUCUUUAUGUGCUUUGGUGUUUGGUGUUCCCUGAAUACAAUAGCUAAGAUGCAUCAUGGACUAAAGCUGGAAGUUAUUGAUGA